AGCUUGUUGCGUCAGGAGUCCAGAAGGUCGCUCGCUUGGAAAAAGACUCUCUGCCUAGAGGGCGCUGGGAAACGGAGGAGGGUGUGGGUCAUCAGCAAAAGGUGCACCCGCUCCUGCCUGCCAUGCCCAUGUUUCAGCCCCUUUGGGCUGUUUCAUCUUUCACUCCGUAGGACAGAGAUUGAAGAGGUUUCAACCCUGAUCUUUUUGAUCAUCAAAAUUCAGACAUUCUCCCUAGCCCAGCCUUACCGUUUAUCUAGUUAGAGCAAUGAGAUACAAGAAGCUUUGCUGUAGGGAUCCACCUGUCCUGGAUUUGUAGUCAGAGCGCACUUGGUGGAUGCAGAAGGGAAACCGGCUCAGGACAAGCGUGGGCGCUCACCACAGAGCAAGGGUUGCUUCCUGUGCGUUCUGACUCCUGGUGUUACAUCCCUCCUUUACGCUUGCUGACAUCGCCUGUUGUCCUGUGGGUAUUCCGAGCUUAGCAGCUCCCACGUUGCUUGUCUCUGAGUGCACCACAACACACACACACACACACACACACACACACACACACA
rnacentral:lncRNA from 1 species